AAUCCCCUAAUCUCAAUACUGCCAUUUCCGCAAAUCGCUAUUUCCUGUUAAGAAGACGACACACACACACACACGCACGCAUACAUAUCCAUCUUCACAUUAUUAUUCUCCCAAUUCAAAUUGGAUUGGUUUCUCCAUGACCAUGUCCAUAACUCUGUUACUCCAACCCAACCCCUCCCACUUCAAAUGGAACCAAUUGCCACCGCCUCCGAGUCACGCUUUUCCAAAACCCCAUAAAUUCAUUCCAAUACCCGACUCAAAACGGCGAGUUCCCGCUGCGUAUAACGGAGUCAAAUGCCUCUCAUCUCCGAAUCCACAAAACUCGUCCAAUUCCCAAUCCACGUGGGAAGUUCUGGCGAGUACGGUAUCGAAUGCGCUGAAGGCGUUGAAGAAACCAGCCGUAGCUGCGCUCUUGGUUGGGCUUUUGUUAAUGUAUGAUCCAAACGCUGCGUUAGCGGCAUCUGGAGGGAGAAUGGGAGGAAGGUCCUUCUCUUCAUCUUCAUCUUCAUCGAGGAGUUACUCGGUGCCGAGGACAUCGGGCCCAAGCCCAGGGUUCUCUUAUUCGGCUCCGUAUUAUGGGCCUUCUCCGUUCGGUGGGGUUUAUGUUGGGCCCGCCGUUGGGGUUGGUGUUGGUGCCGGGUCCAGUUUCUUUCUCAUCUUAGUGGGAUUCCUCGCUUUUGUUUUGGUUUCCGGCUUUCUUUCGGAUCGCUCUGAGGGUAGUGUGCUCACUGCUGCCGACAAAACCACCGUCCUCAAGCUUCAGGUUGGAUUGUUGGGGAUGGGUCGCUCACUUCAAAGGGAUCUGAAUAGGAUUGCGGAAGUUGCUGAUACAUCAACUUCAGAAGGUCUGAACUAUGUAUUGACAGAGACAACACUAGCUUUGCUCCGUCAUCCUGAUUACUGCAUUUCAGCAUAUUCAUCCGUGGACAUAAAGCGGGGUAUGGAAGAUGGGGAGAAACGUUUUAAUCAACUUUCAAUUGAAGAGCGGGGAAAAUUUGAUGAAGAGACUUUGGUCAAUGUUAAUAACAUAAAAAGGCAAAGCACAAGAAGCCAGAGAGCAAAUGGGUUCAGCAAUGAAUACAUAGUGGUAUCAUCUCAUUUUUCCAAUAACUUUCUUAUUUGUGUUUUCAAGAUGUUGUAUUACCACCUGCAUUGCAGUGGUCCAUAUUUUCACCAUGCACUUAUAAUUAACUUUAAAAAACAUAAUGAAAUCAUAUUAUUACACAUUAACCUGCAUUAAGUAUGAAAUUGGAAAGACUUCACCUAUGACUUAGUACAUUUUAUGUGCUUCAUACAUGUUCAAAUGUCCAGGUUUAAUAUUGCUAUUCACAACCAUAUUUAGAAAAGAUAUUUUUCUAUCAGAAAAAUAAAAUAGAAAAGAUGUGGAAAAACUUUGGUCUAUGAGGUCCUGACGCAAGUAUUACACUUCCAGCUUAAAAGCAUAUCGCUGAGAAUGAGACACUUAGUUAACUGUUUGUAGAUUUGACCUUCCUAAUAGGAACAUUUUUGCAUACCAUUGGGGAUAGUUCUUGUGAAUAUUUCAAAGAUGAACCUUGUUCACGUGCCUAGUAUAGGUCAACAGUCAUUCCUUCUAUGAGGAAGACAACAAGACCAAUGAAGAAAAGGGAAUGAACAGAUGAAAAUCAAUAAACCAAUUGAGAACAUCUCUCUCCUGUUUUACUCUUCAGAAACCUACAGUUCUCUUGUUAUGUUUGUUGGACAUCAGCACAGUUGAGUCUGAUUGCCUUUUUCUUGUUGAAGAAAUAAGUUGUUUUAAAUGGGUCUCAUGGUAAUGACGUACACUGAAUGAAUUUGGACUGAAACUUCUUUUUGAUGCUUUCUUUCUCUCUCUUGAUGUUGUCAGAUUGUAAUGAUUUGCUUGCUCUAUAACUCUAAUGCAUCUUCUUCUUUCCAAAUUACAUAGGUACAUCCGUUAACCUACAUCCAUGUCUAAGCAGGCAAUCAUCAAUCUCCUAAAUUCAAUAGAUAACAAUCUUAGCAGCUGCUGAAGGAGAACAUAAACUUCCUAGCAUCAAUGGAAGUAGAGACUUGAAGGAAGCUUUACAGAAACUUGGAUCCAUUCCUUCGAGCAAAUUAUUGGCGGUUGAGGUGUUAUGGACCCCACAGAAUGAGAAUGAUACUCUAUCAGAACGGGAGUUACUUGAAGAUUACCCACUUUUACGGCCUUUGUAAACUGUGAUGGUAUGCUUGCAUGCUGCCCCUAGCCUUCCAGAACUACGAGCUGAAAUUGGGUCGUGAUUGCAUAGUUGAGGAUCAUCUCCAAUUAUACCGAAAUAAUAACGUUAAAACUAUUGAGAUUGUCCUGCUACUCAAUCUGCAAGGCUAUUUUCAGCUGUCACUUUUGAAGGUUCAAGCUUAAAUAUUGAUGGUGUAAGUUGUAAAAAUUACCAGUAGGAUCAACUCUAAAAAAUAUGUACAAUUUUACCCACAGUCAUUGCAUCAUUUUAAUUUGAAAUAGAUGUCUUCUCUGUUUA